AUUGAACGCUGGCGGCAUGCUUUACACAUGCAAGUCGAACGGCAGCACAGGGAGCUUGGCUCCCGGGUGGCGAGUGGCGCACGGGUGAGUAAUACAUCGGAACGUGUCCUGUUGUGGGGGAUAACUGCUCGAAAGGGUGGCUAAUACCGCAUGAGACCUGAGGGUGAAAGCGGGGGAUCGCAAGACCUCGCGCAAUUGGAGCGGCCGAUGCCCGAUUAGCUAGUUGGUGAGGUUAACGGGCCCCACCAAGGCGACGAUCGGUANCCGGACUGAGAGGUUGAACGGUCACAUUGGGACUGAGACACGGCCCAGACUCCUACGGGAGGCAGCAGUGGGGAAUAUUGCACAAUGGGGGAAACCCUGAUGCAGCGACGCCGCGUGGAGGAAGAAGGUCUUCGGAUUGUAAACUCCUGUUGUUGAGGAAGAUAAUGACGGUACUCAACAAGGAAGUGACGGCUAACUACGUG
rnacentral:rRNA from 1 species